GCGCAGCAGGCGAGAAUACUCCGCAAUGCCCGAAAGGGUGACGGGGGAUUCCAAGUGCCUACGCUUAGCGUAGGCUGUUCAGGUGCCUAAAAAGCACCUGGAGGAAGGGCUGGGUAAGACGGGUGCCAGCCGCCGCGGUAAUACCCGCAGCCCGAGUGGUAGUCGCUUUUAUUGGGCCUAAAGCGUCCGUAGCCGGUCUGGUAAAUGCCUGGGUAAAUCGUGGGGCUUAACCUCACGAAUUCCGGGUAGACUGCCAGACUUGGGACCGGUUGAGGGAGAGGGUACUCCAGGGGUAGGGGUGAAAUCAGCAAGGUAAGCUGAUGUAACUUGCCUUGCAAGUCACAAUCCUGUAAUCCUUGGAGGACCACCGGUGGCGAAAGCGCUCUCCUAGGACGGGUCCGACGGUGAGGGACGAAAGCCAGGGGAGCAAACCGGAUUAGAUACCCCCGUAGUCCCUGG
rnacentral:rRNA from 1 species